AUUGAACGCUGGCGGCAUGCUUUACACAUGCAAGUCGAACGGUAACAGGCCGCAAGGUGCUGACGAGUGGCGAACGGGUGAGUAAUGCAUCGGAACGUGCCCAGUCGUGGGGGAUAACUACUCGAAAGAGUAGCUAAUACCGCAUACGAUCUAUGGAUGAAAGCGGGGGACCGUAAGGCCUCGCGCGAUUGGAGCGGCCGAUGUCAGAUUAGGUAGUUGGUGGGGUAAAGGCUCACCAAGCCAACGAUCUGUAGCUGGUCUGAGAGGACGACCAGCCACACUGGAACUGAGACACGGCCCAGACUCCUACGGGAGGCAGCAGUGGGGAAUUUUGGACAAUGGGCGCAAGCCUGAUCCAGCAAUGCCGCGUGCAGGAAGAAGGCCUUCGGGUUGUAAACUGCUUUUGUACGGAACGAAACGGCUCUGGUUAAUACCCGGGGCUAAUGACGGUACCGGAAGAAUAAGCACCGGCUAACUACGUG
rnacentral:rRNA from 1 species